rnacentral:rRNA from 1 species
UACGGGGGGAGCAAGCGUUGUUCGGAAUUACUGGGCGUAAAGGGCGCGUAGGCGGCCUCCUAAGUCAGACGUGAAAUCCCUCGGCUCAACCGGGGAACUGCGUCUGAUACUGGGAGGCUUGAAUCCGGGAGAGGGAUGUGGAAUUCCAGGUGUAGCGGUGAAAUGCGUAGAUAUCUGGAGGAACACCGGUGGCGAAGGCGGCAUCCUGGACCGGUAUUGACGCUGAUGCGCGAAAGCCAGGGGAGCAAACGGG